UACGUAGGGGGCAAGCGUUGUCCGGAAUCAUUGGGCGUAAAGCGCGUGUAGGCGGUUCGGUAAGUCGGCUGUGAAAGUCCAGGGCUCAACCCUGGGAUGCCGGUCGAUACUGCCGGACUAGAGUGCGGUAGGGGAGAUUGGAAUUCCUGGUGUAGCGGUGGAAUGCGCAGAUAUCAGGAGGAACACCGAUGGCGAAGGCAGAUCUCUGGGCCGUAACUGACGCUGAGGAGCGAAAGCAUGGGGAGCGAACAGG
rnacentral:rRNA from 1 species